rnacentral:rRNA from 1 species
AGAGUUUGAUCCUGGCUCAGGAUGAACGCUGGCGGCGUGCUUAACACAUGCAAGUCGAACGGAGACAUAUUUUGAAGUUUUCGGAUGGAAAGAUAUGUUCUUAGUGGCGGACGGGUGAGUAAUGUAUGAGCAACCUACCUUUAAGAGGGGGACAACAGUUGGAAACGACUGCUAAUACCGCAUAAUGCGAAUUUGCCGCAUGGCAGAUUUGUCAAAGGAACAAUCCGCUUAAAGAUGGGCUCAUA